ensembl:lncRNA
CCUCAAUAAAUCUUGGGUCGGUGAAGGAGGAUCUCCCCAGGUAGACUUGAACGCUUUCUUGUGCUGCCACUAAGAAUCAUGGGAACUGUAGUUUGGUCACACAAGCCUCCUCAGCUUCAACUAAGAAAAGACCCUUCCGUCCAAUCAAAGUGUUGAAAUGGUCCUUCAGGAUUUGAGUGUGAUGGGACUGGCAGAGGCUCUCCAGAGGUCUAAGCAGGAUGAUGAGCGGAAAAACGCUGUCCUUUCUGCCCACUGUACACCUCACAAGUGCAACCAAUUAGAGUAAUUGAAAAAGGGAGACAUGUCCAAUUAAUAGUUUGUUCAGAGGAAGCAGAAAUGGUGUAGAGUGGUUUGAGGCAGGUCGAAAGCAGGAAGAAAAUGGGCAAUUAUUUACGUCUCACAUGCCAGCACCAUUAUCUGGCCAUUCACUCUCAACAGGGUUUCCUGUAAAUAAAAAAUGGAAUGGGCAAAAAGCAAG